GUUCGGGAAGCGAGCGUACACAGGUGCUGCAUGGCUGUCGUCAGCUCGUGUCGUGAGAUGGUUGGGUUAAGUCCCGCAACGAGCGCAACCCCUGCAUUCAGUUGCCAUCGGGUAAUGCCGGGCACUCUGGAAGGACUGCCAUCGACAAGAUGGAGGAAGGUGGGGAUGACGUCAAGUCCUCAUGGCCUUUAUGACCAGGGCUACACACGUACUACAAUGGCCGAUACAAAGGGCAGCGACACUGCGAGGUGAAGCCAAUCCCGUAAAAUCGGUCUCAGUCCGGAUUGGAGUCUGCAACUCGACUCCAUGAAGUUGGAAUCGCUAGUAAUCGUGGAUCAGCAUGCCACGGUGAAUACGUUCCCGGGCCUU
rnacentral:rRNA from 1 species